CUUUUACAAUGAAGAGUUUGAUCCUGGCUCAGGAUGAACGCUAGCUACAGGCUUAACACAUGCAAGUCGAGGGGCAGCAUGAACUUAGCUUGCUAAGUUUGAUGGCGACCGGCGCACGGGUGAGUAACACGUAUCCAACCUGCCGAUGACUCGGGGAUAGCCUUUCGAAAGAAAGAUUAAUACCCGAUGGCAUAGUUCUUCCGCAUGGUGGAACUAUUAAAGAAUUUCGGUCAUCGAUGGGGAUGCGUUCCAUUAGGUUGUUGGCGGGGUAACGGCCCACCAAGCCUUCGAUGGAUAGGGGUUCUGAGAGGAAGGUCCCCCACAUUGGAACUGAGACACGGUCCAAACUCCUACGGGAGGCAGCAGUGAGGAAUAUUGGUCAAUGGACGAGAGUCUGAACCAGCCAAGUAGCGUGAAGGAUGACUGCCCUAUGGGUUGUAAACUUCUUUUAUACGGGAAUAAAGUGAGGCACGCGUGCCUUUUUGUAUGUACCGUAUGAAUAAGGAUCGGCUAACUCCGUGCCAGCAGCCGCGGUAAUACGGAGGAUCCGAGCGUUAUCCGGAUUUAUUGGGUUUAAAGGGAGCGUAGGCGGACGCUUAAGUCAGUUGUGAAAGUUUGCGGCUCAACCGUAAAAUUGCAGUUGAUACUGGGUGUCUUGAGUACAGUAGAGGCAGGCGGAAUUCGUGGUGUAGCGGUGAAAUGCUUAGAUAUCACGAAGAACUCCGAUUGCGAAGGCAGCUUGCUGGACUGUAACUGACGCUGAUGCUCGAAAGUGUGGGUAUCAAACAGGAUUAGAUACCCUGGUAGUCCACACAGUAAACGAUGAAUACUCGCUGUUUGCGAUAUACAGUAAGCGGCCAAGCGAAAGCGUUAAGUAUUCCACCUGGGGAGUACGCCGGCAACGGUGAAACUCAAAGGAAUUGACGGGGGCCCGCACAAGCGGAGGAACAUGUGGUUUAAUUCGAUGAUACGCGAGGAACCUUACCCGGGCUUGAAUUGCAACUGAAUGAUGUGGAGACAUGUCAGCCGCAAGGCAGUUGUGAAGGUGCUGCAUGGUUGUCGUCAGCUCGUGCCGUGAGGUGUCGGCUUAAGUGCCAUAACGAGCGCAACCCUUAUCGAUAGUUACCAUCAGGUGAUGCUGGGGACUCUGUCGAGACUGCCGUCGUAAGAUGUGAGGAAGGUGGGGAUGACGUCAAAUCAGCACGGCCCUUACGUCCGGGGCUACACACGUGUUACAAUGGGGGGUACAGAAGGCAGCUACACGGCGACGUGAUGCUAAUCCCUAAAGCCUCUCUCAGUUCGGAUUGGAGUCUGCAACCCGACUCCAUGAAGCUGGAUUCGCUAGUAAUCGCGCAUCAGCCACGGCGCGGUGAAUACGUUCCCGGGCCUUGUACACACCGCCCGUCAAGCCAUGAAAGCCGGGGGUACCUGAAGUGCGUAACCGCAAGGAGCGCCCUAGGGUAAAACUGGUGAUUGGGGCUAAGUCGUAACAAGGUAGCCGUACCGGAAGGUGCGGCUGGAACACCUCCUUUCU
rnacentral:rRNA from 1 species